rnacentral:rRNA from 1 species
AUUGAACGCUGGCGGCAUGCCUUACACAUGCAAGUCGAACGGCAGCACGGGAGCAAUCCUGGUGGCGAGUGGCGAACGGGUGAGUAAUAUAUCGGAACGUACCUUUCAGUGGGGGAUAACGUAGCGAAAGUUACGCUAAUACCGCAUAUUCUGUGAGCAGGAAAGCAGGGGAUCGCAAGACCUUGCGCUGAUUGAGCGGCCGAUAUCAGAUUAGCUAGUUGGUGAGGUAAAGGCUCACCAAGGCGACGAUCUGUAGCGGGUCUGAGAGGAUGAUCCGCCACACUGGAACUGAGACACGGUCCAGACUCCUACGGGAGGCAGCAGUGGGGAAUUUUGGACAAUGGGCGCAAGCCUGAUCCAGCCAUGCCGCGUGAGUGAAGAAGGCCUUCGGUUGUAAG